rnacentral:rRNA from 1 species
GAUGAACGCUGGCGGCGUGCCUAAUACAUGCAAGUCGAGCGAACAGACGCGGAGCUUGCUCCUCUGACGUUAGCGGCGGACGGGUGAGUAACACGUGGAUAACCUACCUAUAAGACUGGGAUAACUUCGGGAAACCGGAGCUAAUACCGGAUAACAUGUUGAACCGCAUGGUUCAACAGUGAAAGACGGUCUUGCUGUCACUUAUAGAUGGAUCCGCGCCGCAUUAGCUAGUUGGUAAGGUAACGGCUUACCAAGGCAACGAUGCGUAGCCGACCUGAGAGGGUGAUCGGCCACACUGGAACUGAGACACGGUCCAGACUCCUACGGGAGGCAGCAGUAGGGAAUCUUCCGCAAUGGGCGAAAGCCUGACGGAGCAACGCCGCGUGAGUGAAGAAGGUCUUCGGAUCGUAAAACUCUGUUAUUAGGGAAGAACAAAUGUGUAAGUAACUAUGCACGUCUUGACGGUACCUAAUCAGAAAGCCACGGCUAACUACGUG